UACGUAGGGUGCAAGCGUUUGUCCGGAAUUAUUGGGCGUAAAGAGCUCGUAGGCGGUCUGUCGCGUCGGCUGUGAAAACUCGGGGCUCAACCCCGAGCCUGCAGUCGAUACGGGCAGACUAGAGUGCUGUAGGGGAGACUGGAAUUCCUGGUGUAGCGGUGAAAUGCGUAGAGAUCAUGAGGAAGACCAGUGGCGAAGGCGGGUCUCUGGACAGUUCCUGACACUGAGGCACGAAGGCCAGGGGAGCAAACGGG
rnacentral:rRNA from 1 species